GCCCUGGUAGCUCAAUUAGUUAGAGCCUCGGAAUUUUGUAGGUUUAGACCUAUAGCUGUGCUGUCCGAAGGCUGAAGCUAGGUUCGACCCUGGCCUGGGGCG